ACGCCAUACAAUUCGGGAUAAUUAACUCUGGUGACCAGACACAGACUCGUGCACGUAUUUCCCAACGAAUUGGCCCGCCUCGUAUGAAAAGUUACCUCCAACUAUGUAUACGAGUUCCCGCAUUUAAAAUACGGCUUCUUGUUUCGAAGCUCGAGCAUUUUGUACAUGCAGUCACUGCGUAAGCGAGUUAUCGUUCGAGCAAAAGUAUCAAGUAAUAACGUUGAUGCAGCGAGGAUUGGUUGUAUCGGGUCCCCACGCAAAUUGCAAUGAAACCAACUGGCCACAACGUUACCUGACACACAUGGCGCGUUGCUAAUUGAAAUUAUUUCACGACAACGAGCCACGCAGUCGAAACGUAAAAUGUAUAAUUAAAGUUCAAGAUCGAGGCCAGGUUAUCGAUCGGGGCACGCAGAGACUACAAAUUUUCUUUUGCCCGAGCUGAGAAGCCACUAGGUGAGAAAGUGAUUCGCUGUUUUUUCGGCAUUUCCACUGGUCCCAUUGAUUUUAGAGGAUUUCAGUACGAGCAUAGUUCGCUUAGAAAUUGAUUCCAACAUACUGGUAGCCGCUGCAGCUAAGAAUCUUCAUUAGAGGGAUUUGACGACACAGCAAAAUAUCUUUCCCCCUCGGCAACUUCAAAAUAUUUUUUAAAAUAUUACGAAGAAUGAAAGUAAAAAAUGGGAAUGGAUUAUGCAAAAAUAUGAAUGAUCUCGUUCGAUAAACUGUCCAUUUGCCAGAUAAAUUUCUGGCGGCACGUAAAAAGCAUUUUGUUCCGUACGGUUCGCGUAUUUCACUUUUCGAAGGAAGACACUACCGUUGCGGACGUACAUCUACAUUCACGGGAUCGAAACCGAGCCGAGUUCGUAUGCAACGUUAUAUUCCUGUUGUACGCGUACCGACUUCACGUUCCGUUCCGUCCAAGAUGUUGUAAAAGUCUGCCUAAAAGAUGGCAAGCCGCUUUACGUUCCACGACGGUGAACUUUCAGCUGAGAAUUUCGAAAUUUUCCCGAGUGUAGUCGUAAAACUUGCUGUCCUUCGGCCAAACGUCUAUGAAAACCAAUCGUAACGCGCCUUUAAGUGGGCCGUGUUUUAAUUUAUUAAGCUUUCCUUCUUUUUAUUUCUGUAGCUUAACGCGCGUCAGUAGCGUAUCGCGCGCCUUUUCUAAAUUGAGUAUAUCUUACACACUGGUUAAUGUUAUUCAUCCUCUAAAUUACAGAUAGACCUGUUUCUGCCCCCAACCGCGUCGAUCGAACCAACGCGUCGCAGAGAUCUCCGUACAUUUCUCUAUCGCUCUUUCGGCUCUCUUGAAAAACAAAGUCGAAUACAACGAUAGACACAAGCAUCCAUAGCGAUCCAUUGAGGAAUUCGGGUGCGAUGGAGAAGGGUUCGGGCGGAACGAGCACAAUGAGCACAGGAUAUCGAACAGAGUUGGCUGCGGCUCGCAGGAAAUUUAUGGUACGUCGCGAGGAUCCGCCUUGGCGUGCAAUAAGAUAGCGAGUUUGCGUGCCGGCCACGAGAAUAGCGUAGGUGUAAGUUUAUGCGGGUCGUUCCGUGCAUGGCCCCCUCGUUUCCUCCGUAAUUCUACCGAGUCGCGAAACUAUCCCGCGUGUGCUUCAGUCCGGACUGCCCCGUACUCUCCGUGUGUCCGUGUGCAUCCAGCUCGGGGCGUGUACUUUCCAUUGAAAUAUCGUCACGAGUGUCCGGACUGGCCAUGUUUCAGGUAGCCACUCGUCGAUAGCGAUUCGCGGAGUCUCUGUAUCGUUCGUGGAACGGGUUACAAGCGUGUAAUUUGCAACGGAACAACACCGCCCAGCUCUCGACGAUGCUCGUAUCAGAGGAAAAAGAAGUCACGCCGUGAAACCGCUUCCGUGGCUGAGCGUUUUAUGUCGAGUGUGUCCUCGAACGCGAGCAACAAGCUUUAAUCGAGCGCGAUAACGCUACGUAUCGUGUCCCCGAUUCGUCAUCGAACUGCGCAUCUAUACGACGAAACAAGAUUUACGAUUUCCAUUGGCAUUCGUUUUAUAAGGAUUCGGGAUUCUUAGCGAGAUGCGCCAACGUUCGAUCCUCGCUCAGUUGGUCGAUGUUUUCUCGCUGCGAAAAUCGACAGUGUUGAUAUACGCCGUCUGCAAUACUCUGCUCCGCCGUGAAAUCGUCGUCCGUGUAGUGGCCACUGAUCGGAAUUAGGUUUCUACGAUUGCCACGGGUCUUUGCUCGUUGCAGGUAGUAGUUUGCCGGCUUGAGAGGGCGGUUGAUUAAAUUUAACCUAGAUUGCUGACACCUGAACCGAAGUAUUUGAUUAGACACGAACGAACGAUCACACGUCCGGCCAAGGUGCAUCGAUCUUUCGGAUCGCAUCGACGCGGCGACUGUGCGUUAAAAUUCCGUCAAAUCGGAGACCGACGAGAUUAGAGGAAUAACUCGAGUCAGGCCGUCUCCGAUCAUCGUUAAUAUCACAUCCGUUCGUGUGUUUUAUCUUUUAAAUCAUUGUCAAAUCCUUAGAUUUGGGUAAAUGCGUCAAAAUACAUGAAAAAGAAAAUAAA